rnacentral:rRNA from 1 species
UACGAAGGGGGCUAGCGUUGCUCGGAAUCACUGGGCGUAAAGGGUGCGUAGGCGGGUCUUUAAGUCAGGGGUGAAAUCCUGGAGCUCAACUCCAGAACUGCCUUUGAUACUGAGGAUCUUGAGUUCGGGAGAGGUGAGUGGAACUGCGAGUGUAGAGGUGAAAUUCGUAGAUAUUCGCAAGAACACCAGUGGCGAAGGCGGGUCUCUGGGCCGUAACUGACGCUGAGGUGCGAAAGCGUGGGGAGCAAACAGGG